UACGGGGGGGCAAGCGUUGUUCGGAAUCACUGGGCGUAAAGCGCACGUAGGCGGAUUGCUAAGUCAGGGGUGAAAUCCUGGAGCUCAACUCCAGAACUGCCUUUGAUACUGGCGACCUUGAGUCCGGGAGAGGUGAGUGGAACUGCGAGUGUAGAGGUGAAAUUCGUAGAUAUUCGCAAGAACACCAGUGGCGAAGGCGGCUCACUGGCCCGGUACUGACGCUGAGGUGCGAAAGCGUGGGGAGCAAACAGG
rnacentral:rRNA from 1 species